GACAGUUUGGCCGAGUGGUCUAAAGCGCUGGCUUAAGCGCCUGUCCGAAAGGGCGUGGGUUCGAACCCCACAGCUGUCA
rfam:Perkinsus marinus ATCC 50983 gcontig_1104296659448, whole genome shotgun sequence.